UUAAAUAUUCAAGAUAUUUAAAAAUGUAAUUGAGGUUGUAUGCCCGAGGAAAUAACUUUCGAUAAAUCCACCACAGACUGCAAUAACUGUCCUAUUCUUGUAUUGGAUAUUAUAGUUUCACACUUGAGAAAUGCACACAUGUUUGACGACAACUCAUAUAAUCUCCCAAUCUCGAUAAAUAAAAUACAGUGUAAAAAACGAUCAAGGAGACACGUAAAUUCAUAACAAUUCAUAAAUCAAUCAAAUAACAAGGACACAACAAAAAGGACACACAAUUAACCCAGACAGUAUCGAUUCAGUAAAACUGAAAUGUAAAAGUGAAAAAAAUUUGAUCCCCUUGCGAAAACUCUAAAAGCAUUCAUCGUAAGUAGACGUGGUCUUUUUUUUCGAUAUGAUAGCCUAUUUUGAAGUUUAUUUUUUCACAUAACAGAAAUGGCAAUGUCUCAACUUUGGUAUAUUGGGUUUUCGGAAAGCGG
rnacentral:lncRNA from 1 species